UUCAAUCAUCAUAAUUGAAAAAAAAAACCCCAAUAUUACACAAUCUAGUUCAUGUAAACCACCAUCUCGAUAAAAGAACUAGUUCUUCUGAACACUAAACCAACAAUAUUACAAGAACGAAUUCAAAGAAAUUAAUUCAUCGAAAUCAAAAGAUAAAAUUUGUCGAAAUCAAAAUCAAAAGGAAUCCAAAUGAAUCAGAACAAGACAGAUUAGUACACCCACAAAUCAAAACAAAAAACUAUCGACAAACAAACAUGUUAAUGAACAACUCGUACUCGGAAACUGCUUUUGUCGCCGGCAGCCACUCAAAUCCACCACGGCUGGACCUAGAUUGAAAAUUAGGGUAGGAUAAUUACAUGAAUAAGUGUAGAGAAAUCGAGUUUUAAUAUAACCGUACAAAUCAAACCUGACGACCUGUACUCCAGCUGACCGCCGACGAGUAAAGAAGCACUCACUACCGAUGCCGUUUCAACCUCCCGUAGUUGCAACCUAUCGCAGACACAAAAAUAGGCCACAAAACAAAAACUAUUUCAAUUAAAUAACAAAAAUAAGUAUCCACUCACCGCCGAACUCGCCAUCGGUAUUGAAACAACCUCAUGGCGACGAAAUCACUGUGGGAGUGAUGAACUCGGCCGGAAAACUACUGCUUUUUUGGCCUCAUGAUGAUUUGGGGUAGAGGGAGACCAAUUUUGAGAAAAACGGCAGAAUUGGUGAAUGAAGGAGAAUGGUAGGGUUAUACGGUUUUGAAAUCUAUUUAAUAUAAUUAAUAUUAGCCAUUAGAUAUAUUUUGCUAAAAUCCAACGGUUACUAUGCAAUUAUCUAGAUAUAUAGGUAAUCCCCGUACUGGUUUAUUACCCUUGAAGUUGUUGAAUAUGAAUUGCUUUAAUUGCUUGGUUAUUGUUAAGUAAUGGAAGCUUAAAUGAGUUGUUG
rnacentral:lncRNA from 1 species